rnacentral:rRNA from 1 species
UACGUAGGGGGCAAGCGUUGUCCGGAUUUAUUGGGCGUAAAGAGCGUGUAGGCGGCCUGAAAGGUCAGCUGUGAAAACUCGAGGCUUAACCUCGAGACGUCGGUUGAAACCAUCUGGCUAGAGUCCGGAAGAGGAGAGUGGAAUUCCCGGUGUAGCGGUGAAAUGCGCAGAUAUCGGGAAGAACACCCGUGGCUAAGGCGGCUCUCUAGUACGGUACUGACGCUGAGACGCGAAAGCGUGGGGAGCGAACAGG